rnacentral:RNase_P_RNA from 1 species
GGAGUUAGCUAGGUAAUCGCUGCUUUGGCAGAGGAAAGUCCGGGCUCCAUAGGGCAGAGUGCCAGGUAACGCCUGGGGGGCGUGAGCCCACGGCAAGUGCAACAGAAAGAAAACCGCCAAGUUUUCUUGGUAAGGGUGAAAUGGUGCGGUAAGAGCGCACCGCGCAGCUGGUAACAGUUGUGGCAAGGUAAACCCCACUCGGAGCAAGACCAAAU